UACAGAGGGUGCGAGCGUUAAUCGGAAUUACUGGGCGUAAAGCGUGCGCAGGCGGUUCGCCAAGUCAGGUGUGAAAUCCCCGGGCUUAACCUGGGAAUUGCGCUUGAAACUAGCGGGCUUGAGUGUGGCAGAGGGGGGUGGGAAUUCCACGUGUAGCAGUGAAAUGCGUAGAGAUGUGGAGGAACACCGAUGGCGAAGGCAGCCCCCCUGGGUCAACACUGACGCUCAUGCACGAAAGCGUGGGGAGCAAACAGG
rnacentral:rRNA from 1 species